GAGUUUGAUCCUGGCUCAGAGUGAACGCUGGCGGCAGGCCUAAUACAUGCAAGUCGAACGGCAGCACAGCAGAGCUUGCUCUGUGGGUGGCGAGUGGCGGACGGGUGAGGAAUACGUGGGAAUCUGCCCAGUCGUGGGGAUAACGUAGGGAAACUUACGCUAAUACCGCAUGCGCCCUUCGGGGGAAAGCCGGGGACCUUCGGGCCUGGCGCGAUUGGAUGAGCCCACGUCGGAUUAGCUAGUUGGCGGGGUAAAGGCCCACCAAGGCGACGAUCCGUAGCUGGUCUGAGAGGAUGAUCAGCCACACUGGAACUGAGACACGGUCCAGACUCCUACGGGAGGCAGCAGUAGGGAAUAUUGGACAAUGGGCGCAAGCCUGAUCCAGCCAUGCCGCGUGAGUGAAGAAGGCCCUCGGGUUGUAAAGCUCUUUUGUCCGGAAAGAAAAGCGCCGGGUUAAUACCCUGGUGUCCUGACGGUACCGGAAGAAUAAGCACCGGCUAACUUCGUG
rnacentral:rRNA from 1 species